rnacentral:lncRNA from 1 species
GAGCCUGGCGCGGAGCCGGCGAGAUUUUGGUGGGGUCUCACCUGUUGCGUGACUCCCCCACAGUCCGGCCGCGGGAGUCCGACCCUGAAUGCCCAGGGAGUGUUGAGAGAAAUCUGGACGAGUUUCGGGUCCCGCUCCCUUGGGAGCACGUGGCCUACCAGCCUCUCGAUUGCAGGGUUGGGUGGUCGCGACACCGGGGUCGCCUUGAGGCCAGUCCGGCUGCCGAGGUCUGCGGGAGUCCACCUCCGGCCAGCUGGCAAUUUUGAAAGACUGCCUUACUUUCCCCAUCUCAGUGCCAGGGCAGGGGCCCUUGGAGUGACUUGGCUGGGGUCUGUGGCCCGAUCCCCCUGCCGUCCCUCAGGACCCGGGCUUUCUGCUGUACAGACUUCUCGUGGGCAGCCUCCCCUCGGAACUCGGGCAUCAUGGCCUCAGGAGCUGUUCACCCGCUCACUGGCUGAGAGCGAGCUCCGUAGUGCCCCGUAUGAGUUCCCCGAGGAGAGCCCCAUUGAACAGCUGGAGGAGCGGCGGCAGCGGCUGGAGCGGCAGAUCAGCCAGGAUGUCAAGCUGGAGCCAGACAUCCUGCUUCGGGCCAAGCAAGAUUUCCUGAAGACGGACAGUGACUCGGACCUACAGCUCUACAAGGAACAGGGUGAGGGGCAGGGUGACCGGAGCCUGCGGGAGCGUGAUGUGCUGGAACGGGAGUUUCAGCGGGUCACCAUCUCUGGGGAGGAGAAGUGUGGGGUGCCGUUCACAGACCUGCUGGAUGCAGCCAAGAGUGUGGUGCGGGCGCUCUUCAUCCGGGAGAAGUACAUGG